UACGUAGGGGGCAAGCGUUGUCCGGAUUUAUUGGGCGUAAAGAGCGUGUAGGCGGCCAUACAGGUCAGCUGUGAAAACUCGAGGCUCAACCUCGAGACGUCGGUUGAAACCGUAUGGCUAGAGUGCGGUAGAGGGUAGUGGAAUUCCCGGUGUAGCGGUGAAAUGCGUAGAGAUCGGGAGGAACACCAGUGGCGAAGGCGGCUACCUGGACCAGCACUGACACUGAGG
rnacentral:rRNA from 1 species